GGAAAGAGAGGGAUUCG
rnacentral:tRNA from 27 species